rnacentral:ncRNA from 1 species
ACGCCCUAGCUCAAUCCACAAUAUACUUUUAACGAGUCUUCAUACUUGUGUAUUUAGUCUGUGUGUCUGUGUUUUGUGUGUUUAGGCGGUUGAGCAGCGGCGGUUAGCAAGCGGACUACGAGGCGGACUGGCCCCGCGUCCCGUGCCAUGUGUCUCCGCCCCCGCUGGAAAUGCACACCCAAUAAAUGUUCUUUUUACACAUCUCCUAUGCGUCCUUCUUACAAUAUGUGCAUGCAUAUGGGGGUAACGGCGAGCCCGUCAUUACAGGGGCCAUGAUUAAAAGGGACGGCCAGGGGCAUUCCUAUUGUGCCGCUAGAGGUGUAAUUCUUGGACCGGUGCAAGACAGGCGAAAGUGAAAGCAUUUGCCAAGAAUGUUUUCAUCAGAUACCGUCAUAGUUCCGACCAUAAAAGAUGCCAACUAGCGAUCCGGCGGCGUUAUUCCCAUGACCCGCUGGGCAGCGCCUAGGAAACCAAAGUCUUGGGUU